UUUUGCAUGCCUAAGGAAUCUUAGAAAUUACAUUUCCAAUGCAAUUAAGUUAUAUUCAGGGGACCUAGAAAAGGUGGGGACUGUUUUAAAGGUGUCUACCUUUAAAGAUGUCUAUAUGUCUAUAUAGGCCUAAAGGUGUCUAUAUAGGCCUAAAUUUUAUGGGGAAAUCCUGAUUUGUGUUCAUAGUACGGCCCCCGGAGGAUUUUAUGACCAUGGUAGGAAUUUGAAGUGGCCCCUCGAAUUAAAAAGGUUCCCCACCCCUGCAUUAAACCUUUCUACUAGCCAGAGCUUUGCUGUCAGUACAUUUUAUUAUGAUACUAUAAGCUCAGAAAUUAAGUUGAUCAAACAAUUUGAUCUGUGCUAUAAACAUUUAAAUGAACCUACAGAAUAGGCAAUCAAAAUAGAAUCAUCUGAAUGAUCUUUCUUGGACAUACAUUUUGAAGUGACCCUUCGAAUUAAAAAAGGUUCCUCAACUGCUUUUGAGGAAAAACAUCAAUGUGCUUGGCCACUCUGGUUUUUAAAUGGUAUUCUGAACUAAAGCAAGGAUUGUUCAAGUUAGUUGAAAAUAGACCGUCUCUGGUUAAAUUAGUUCUACACCAAGCCUUUAGGUGGCAGUAAAACUAAUUGGCACAAUGCGAAUUCCACACACAAGCCACAAAGAAGCCAUCUACCGCGGUCAACAACACUUCCUGAUUGAACAGAAUCACGCGCUGUCUGUGUGGUUUCACUGUUACAAGUUUCUUGGCGAUAUGGGGGGAAAGUUCCUCACAUACCAACGGAAAAUGGGCUUCACAUACAUGCUGCUGUCUCAUAAUAUGGCGAAGACGAGUCACCUGAAGGCCUAACUCGCCAUAGAAGACUGAAAGAAUUGUCCUGCAGGAUGCUGUGUCCUGCAAUCCUGUGUGCUGUGCUACAGACGUGUGUGGAGGUCAACCCAAAAUGGGCACAGUCUCACCACAGAAGAGUGAAAGAGGAUCCUGGCAGGGAGACGGUAGUGUCCUGCAGAAUGGUGAUGGGCCAAUCUUACAAGAGACCACAGAAAACUGAUAUAGUGAACUAUAGAAACAGAGUGCCUGCUGCAGUAUGGCGAGGACACCCUGAGCAGAGAGCUCCAAUAGACCCAGGUCCAGUGUCUUGGCAGGGUGAAAUGGCACUGAUAUGGUGUCCUGCAGGAUGCUGUGUCCUGCAAUCCUGUGUGCUGUGCUACAGACGCGUCUGGAAGCCAACCUGAAAUAAGCACAGUCUCUCCACAGAGGAGUGAAAGAGGCUCCCAGAAGUGAGACUGAGUGCCUGUUGCAGUAUGACGAGGACACAGUGACCAGAGACCUUCAGUAGACCCUUCUGGCAUGAUUGGCGGCUGAAGAACAUGAAAUCAACAGCAAUGUUUAUAAUGUUGUACAUACCUGUAUAGUCUGUAUUAAAAGGCAGUACCUGUA